CAUGAAUAUCUGAAACAGUUAAAGCUUAUAUUUAUCAAAAACAACUGGAAAUAAGAAACGUCGUAAAGAUCUCGCCAUUGGAACAGAAAUUAAAUGUUGUUGUGCGGAUUGCAAACAAAAGACCACGAAUGAAGUUCAACUUCUAUAUCAAUAUCUUCUGGUAAAUUCAACAAGGAAAUUCCUGGUUCAAAGAUUAAUAAAAUAGCCAGGACAAAUUUAACCAGGAAACACAAAAUAAAUUAACUCAAACUGAAAUAUUUUUCUGGGCGUUUUUCGAACCAGCUGAAAAAGAUAUGAAAACCUCGAUUUUUCGAGCGAAGGCCCUUGGUCUGAAAGUUAGAAAGCACACAACAUUUACCAAAAUGUGAGGAUUUUGCUUUUACGUGAAGCAGAC